rnacentral:rRNA from 1 species
UACGUAGGGGGCUAGCGUUGUCCGGAAUCAUUGGGCGUAAAGCGCGUGUAGGCGGUCCGGUAAGUCCGCUGUGAAAGUCGGGGGCUCAACCCUCGGAUGCCGGUGGAUACUGUCGGGCUUGAGUACGGAAGAGGCGAGUGGAAUUCCUGGUGUAGCAGUGAAAUGCGCAGAUAUCAGGAGGAACACCAGUGGCGAAGGCGGUGCUCUGGGCCGGAACUGACGCUGAGGAGCGAAAGCGUGGGGAGCAAACAGG